CGCAAUCCCUUACCUCGGCCCUUUUACUCCCCGGGUUUUUGUUUGAGGAAUUUUUGAUUCGAUUUGGUUGUGCUGGGAUGGGGUUGAUCUUGUUGGGGCUGGCUGUGGUUUACAUUUGAGAAUGAGCAAGUGGAGUAGAUGUGUGUUGAUCUGUUUAGCUCCCCUGCUCAUGUCUGCUUUCUUGUUUCCUGAUUAUUUGCUAGUUUUUUUUGGUGAUCUAGGGCACGCUCAGUUCUAACUUUAUUGCUUCUUUGACUUCUUGUGUGGAAAUGGGUAUGGGUAUGGAUUAGUCCACUGGAGCUCAGAGGUUUUCUGUAUGCUUGGAUGGUACAAAAUGCAGGACCUUUUUCCUUUUUGAAACUAUUAAUCUGCGUUUUAUCGAUCAAUCAAGUGUAAAAUUUGUAAAAAGUGCUUCUUUUUCGCUGUUCUUCUAGGGCCUUACUCUUUUUCAUGUCUCUCAAAUGCCAUUUAAUCAACUAAGGCAUAUCUACGAUAUCUAGUAGGUCAGUAUGGUUCUUAAGCUGUUUGUACUUCCAUGGAGUCUUUGAUUUCCCAUUUUGCUUUAGAUGAAAAUUGCUAGAAUUCAAGCUUCUGUGAUUAUGUUAAUCAACAUAUUUCCUUAUCACUGCAUUAGAGUCAAUUCAUAUAUGUGGCACGUUGGCAGUGUCAAAUUAUCAGAAUCAUUCUUCAAUAUUAUCUAGUACUUUGGUCCCUUGACUUCCAAUACUCUUAUAAUGUUCUGGAUUAGAAGUUGGUUGGCCAAACUUCUUGUUAUAACCUCAUACUCUUUGAGUACUUUAAUUAUGUCUUGUUUUGUCUCGAGACUAUGAUCACCAUAUAGUUACAUUCUCAUAAAUAUUUUGCAUAUUUAACUUUUAUUCCUUAAUUUCGCCAUGGAUUGUUAAUUUUUUUCUAUGCAGGUAAACUUGCAAGGUUAGUUGAUAGAAUUAAAAUCUUCUAGUGAAUUGCCUGUAAAUUAUUUUUCUUCAAAUUGAUGGACUAUGGGUUGGGAAGAUUUUCAUUGUCCUAUGAAAUACAUGUGUUAGAUUGUUGCUAAUUCCUGAUCAUGUAUCUGUAUCUUAACCCUUUUUAUCUAUUGCAUGAUUAGCUAUCAAGUAUCUGACCUUAUGUUAUUUGAGUCGACAUGCAGAGGACUAUGCCUUCAAAAUAACUGUUAUGCAAGUGGCCUGCACAUAUCAUCCUUUUUAUCUGAAAAUAGGUGUAUUUUUAGAUAAGAUUUUGAGUUUGUCUGACACUUAAUUGAUUUCUAUUGCCCACCCUAUUUUGCUGAAAUUCAAACUUCACAUCCCUCUAUUGUGUAUGACAGUUUCCAUCAUGAAGAAAUGAACCAUACUGUAAGAAAAAGGCUGCCCUUUGCCAAAGUUUGGUGAGUGGGAUGUCAAUGACCCUGCCUCGGCUGAAGGUUUCACUGUGAUCUUCAACAAAGCCCGCGACGAGAAGAAAAUGGGUGGCAACAUACGCGAAACCGACUCUCCUGGGAAGGAGGAAGAAGCUCUAAAACCAGGAAUUUCUGCUUCCAAACCUCCUAAGAAAUGGUUCUGUUGCAUGCAUACAUCAGCCCAUUAGGAAACAUGGGUGCUGAUGAUCUCAAAGUUUACAGAUUGGCUUGCCACAUUUUCAGAUGACAGGAAGAGUUAGCCAUUGCACCCGAGUGCACAUGAACGGAGGAAAGCUUGAGACGAUGAAGUAAGAUCGGUGUUAUGGUUUCUUUUCGAUGUGUAGGAACAUCUACUAAAACUCGUUAGUAAUUGUAUUUGAUUUUGGUUUCAGUAAGAUUAUACAUUUCAUGGGCU